rnacentral:lncRNA from 1 species
UCAAAUUGUUUAAACCGGAUAUGAUGAUUAAAUGUUGUAUCGGCAUGGUUCUAUCUGUCUACUUUGCUUUUCCAAUUUGGUUGCCAGCUUCAACCUAAUUCUUGAUUUAGAACUAUGAUUUUGAACUAAAACAUUUCCGUGUUGAAUAAAAUACUAUUUAUACUUAACUGAAUUUUUUUGGAGGCUUCAGUUUUCAAAUGUUGGUGGUAAUUUUAGUUAUGCCACUGUGAAAGCGUCGAUUGUUAAGUAGACAUAAAAAGUUUGAAGUAUGCACAAAGCCUAAAAGUGUCAAAUAUGGAACCUAAAAAAACCUGCUUUUGCCACUAACUAUAUAAAGGUUUUUUAAGGUCUGUUUGUCAAGCGUCAAGUCAAGUUAUCUUGCUACUGGUACCAUGUAGUACAUCCUGCUUAAGCAGGUUGUACGCCAUCCAUACGACGUUUGGGCAUCUGUUUGUAAAAUAUUGCUGCAAAUCUUUUUGAGAGAGCCAUUACUAUGGAAAACCAUCUAAACCAUACAAGUGUGGAAA